CUUGGUUGCGGAAGCAAUUAAAAUGACCAUAAGCAAUAAGCAUAAUCAAAGGGGGAAAUUGGGACUAAGGGAGCAAGAGAAAAAAAAGAAGAAAUGAUACAUAAAUACCAUAGAUGAGUCAAGCUCAAGCAUAAUACACAACUUGUCCAACACCACCUCUAAACAUGAGUACUUAGCGGGGGCCAAGACAAACUACCGGGCUCACCCUCAUAGACAAAAC
rnacentral:lncRNA from 1 species